GAUGAACGCUAGCGGCAGGCCUAAUACAUGCAAGUCGAACGAGAUCCAAGAGCUUGCUUUUGGUGAAAGUGGCGCACGGGUGCGUAACGCGUAUGCAACCUACCUUAAUCAGGGGGAUAGCCUCUCGAAAGAGAGAUUAACACCGCAUAACAUUAUGAUAUGGCAUCAUAUUAUAAUCAAAUAUUUAUAGGAUUAAGAUGGGCAUGCGUGACAUUAGCUAGUUGGUGAGGUAACGGCUCACCAAGGCUACGAUGUCUAGGGGAUCUGAGAGGAUGACCCCCCACACUGGUACUGAGACACGGACCAGACUCCUACGGGAGGCAGCAGUAAGGAAUAUUGGUCAAUGGAGGCAACUCUGAACCAGCCAUGCCGCGUGCAGGAAGACGGCCCUAUGGGUUGUAAACUGCUUUUAUACGGGAAUAAACCUCUCUACGUGUAGGGAGUUGAAUGUACUGUAAGAAUAAGGAUCGGCUAACUCCGUGCCAGCAGCCGCGGUAACAC
rnacentral:rRNA from 1 species